rnacentral:tRNA from 1 species
GCAGUGGUGAUUCAGUGAUAGAAUUCUCACCUUCUAUGCAGAAGACCUGGGCUUUAUUCCCAGCCAAUGCA